UGUAACAUUUAUCACACAGAAAUAUGAGUGCAGUGUAAUACCGUUUCAGGGAUGCUAUUCUGAACAAGGACCGCGGUUACGACCUUGAUGGGUUUUACUAUUUUACUAUUUUGUCAAAACAACCAGCUAAUGGCAAUAACAUACUACCGGCUACCGCUGUAUGUGUUAUAGGUAAUUACUAAUUUAUAUUUAAAAAUGUUGUUUGAUAAUGUGGCUUCAAAUUAUGUAAAAAAAUAUGAAUUGUGUAAGACGUCAAUACUUUCCGAAAUAACGAGUGUUUAUACUUAUUAUUACUUUAAGCUUUAAGCUGUUAAAAUAAUUAACCAGUAUGAUUUAGCACAUGCACAGUAUUAUUUAUUAUAUAAUAUUUUCCUUUUAAUUCGUCAUCAGUCAUCUACAGAGUGAAACCAGAAACACACCUUUUAUCAUCAAAAAUCAGCUGUUCAGCACAGAAAGGAUUACAACUAGCGCUCUAGAAAUUCUUUCACGUCGCUGUUUCACUGUACAUGGGGCAUUAUGCAAACUAUUUUUUUCAAUAACAAGUAUCUAUGACCAUCAUUAUAUGUGUUCAUGAGUGGAAAAUGUUAAGCAAUGUUUUAAAAAUGCUGAUACAGGUACCUACUGAAAUAGUGAAAUUAAAAUUCUUCUACUAGUAACGACUGACGAGCAGGUACAGUUUCUAAGACUUGAGCUGCUGAAUAUCAGUAUAGAAACAGAUGUCAUUCAAAACCACAGUAAUUGACUGAACAUUUAAACGGAUAAGAAAAAUAAUUACAAUACAUAAAAAUCAAAAAAUUAAUUGAAACACAAGAUAACACAAUUUAUGCAUUAGAAUAUAACACACAUUUAAAAUAUAAGAUGUAAAUAUUUUAUUUAUUUAAAAAAAUUAAUUUGCACAACUAAUAUUCCAUCGGCUUAUUAUUUACAAGUUUACAAGAUCCAGGUAAAAACAAAAUGGGAACAUAAUUUGACUAAAAAAAAAAAAA